CUAAAAGUAAAAUGGAGGGAAAGAGUAUGCUCAAGUUAUCUCAUGUGCUUGCUUUCUUGCUUCUUGCAUCACUUUUUCAAUCACUGAUGGCAAGAGAUUUGAUCAGUGAUGGCAUAGAAGUACUGCAACUUCCAGUGGAAAAUGA